GACGAACGCUGGCGGCGCGCUUAACACAUGCAAGUCGAACGGAAAGGCCUGCUUUCCCUGUGGAUUGCGGGUACUCGAGUGGCGAACGGGUGAGUAAAACGUGAGUGAUCUGCCCCCAACUUGGGUAUAAGCCUGGGAAACUGGGUCUAAUUCCCGAUAGGACUGCAGGGUGGUGCCUGUGGUGGAAAACGAUUUUCUAGUGGUUGGGGAUGAGCUCGCGGCCUAUCAGCUUGUUGGUGGGGUAAUGGCCUACCAAGGCGGCGACGGGUAGCCGGCCUGAGAGGGUGGACGGCCACAGUGGGACUGAGAGACGGCCCAGACUCCUACGGGAGGCAGCAGUGGGGAAUAUUGCACAAUGGGCGGAAGCCUGAUGCAGCGACGCCGCGUGGGGGAUGACGGCCUUCGGGUUGUAAACUCCUUUCGACCGCGAGGAAGCCACCUGGUUGGAAGGGUGGUGACGGUAGUGGUAGAAGAAGCACCGGCUAACUACGUG
rnacentral:rRNA from 1 species